ensembl:misc_RNA 7SK 7SK RNA
AGUUGCUAGAGCAAUCUGGCUUCAGCACCUGUCACCUCAUCGAUUGCCAGGGCUGACUCAGGUGAUUUGGCUGGCCAGCCUUCACUUCCCUUCUUCUCUCAUCUUUAUUUCUAUUCUUCCCAAAUCCACGUGUUCAAAUAAAGAGUAAGAUCUUCUAGACAGAAGGUCCCCCUCGAAGAUAAAGAGUAAUAAAAAGAAGAAUAACCACAGAUCCUGAGUAUCCAGACUGUACUAUCU